UUCUGGUGUCAUCUUCCCUCCUCAUCCGCCACAACGACAGUUGGAUCUCUCCGCGUGUUUAUCCCCUCCACCGAGCUUAUUGAAGAAGCCAGUGCCAAAUUCGCUCUCCAUCCAUGGCUCUACACCAGGGAGUUGGAACAGAGGAGCUUAGACGGGGAAGGAGACGUGGAAGAUGGAGAUUCCAGGCGAGGGAAGGAGCUCAUGGUGGUGAGUCUCGAGGUCAUCGAGGCUAGCGGGCGAGCGGCUGGCAGUGGAGAGAAGGGGAGGCCGCAGCAGCGGGGAAACCCUAGGCGGCGUGGCGUCCGAGAGUUCGAGAUCAUCAUCCAUGGCGUUUGUAUCCACCCACCUCCACCGGUUUGCCCCAUGCCCGACCCUCCUGCCCCGGUCUAUUCCCUGCCCCGAUCUCCUCUGUUGCGGCGGUUGACUGGCGGCAGGAAGGUUGGCGCAGCGGCUGUGGCAGGUGGCCGGCGUUGUCUAGGGCCGAUUCACGGAAGAUGUCGGACAGGCCGCCGCCAUGGAACAACGCGAAGGCAAGCCGUAUCAGCCACGCAUUGGCCCCGAGCGCCCGUUGAAGCUGCUGCCCACGGGCAACAAACGAACCCUUUUCUCUGUUGCCGGCAAGAUCGGAAACUUCCCUGCUCAAUCAGGAUAAGUGGAUGUUGACUGGUAGCUGGAAACAGCACGGUAUGCCCCUAGGUCCAAUAUACUGAGGAGUGAGGAGCCCUCGCCGAUGUCUUCGAUGCUGCUAAGGCGGUAGCUGCGGCAGUUGGUUGCACGGUAGGUGUCUGCCACUAUCCCGGUUCAGGGCACAGGGAGAGGUCGGACAUGUGGUUGACCAUUCAGGCGGGCGCUCGGUGAUGCACCGUUGUGGGACAUGGGAGAAAUAGUGGUCUAUCCAAGGUUCUGUCGAGGCGCCAUCCUCAACUCUAUCCUAUUCGGCAACGCCGACGAUUAUAUCACCACGAGCAUCUGCUAUGAUGGCAUGCCGUGGAGAUACCAUGCGAGCAAUGGCCCAUGAAAACAGGGGAUGUGGCGGUGCUCUGCUUGGUCGCCGACCCUCCAUGGCGACUAGAGAGGUGACGACGACACCGAUUGGAUGAUUGGAUCAGGCUAGCUACCCUGCCAUGUCAUUUCUCAUCAAUGAUCCGAGAAGCUGCUGAAGAAGGAGAAAAAGGAAGCAUCCACUCUUUCCAGAGAAGUUCAUUAUUGACCUGGAGUGCCUUAUGGUGUUCAUCAUCAGGGAACAAGCAACAAGGAGUUUGUUGCCAUCGGGUGUGUCAAAGAGGGUCCCUGAUAUUCUCUCAGCUGCCUUGGACUUUUCCAAGGUAAAAUUCAUACUCCUUUUGUGUAGAUUGGAUACUCAUUCCCGUGUUUUUAGAAGCGUGUUUGUUAAGUGGUAUGCUUAAAUGGGUUUGUAGCGUACCAAGUUAAUCCAAAAUUUGCAUGAAUGUGUUUAUGUAUUGUUUAGCAUGUGCAGGGUUGGAAAACAAUAGUCCUUGCUCUAAUUUUCUUGGUCCAGUUAAAAAUUCGAAUGGGGCUAUAUAAACUCAAUGGAUUGUGUAGGUUGAUUGGGAUUGUUGAGAAAUCACACAUAACUUUUAACAUUUUCAUUUCUGCACAACUAGGUAUCUAUAAUGAUGGAAAAAUGCUUCUGAUGUUACAGAUUUAGCUCGAGUAUGAACUUGUGUAAGUCAGGCAUCGAUUUAUCUCUACAUGGUUCAGUGUUCCUGUUAACAUAUAAACAUAAUAAAAUUUUGCAAAUCUGUGUAUACGACAUCCACUGUUUCUUGAGGACAGGACCCAGCUAGAUGUAGCACAGAGCUGCUGGACUGGAAAAAAAUGUGCAAGCUUAUCCAUAGAAUUAGCAUACCCAUUUUAUAUCUGGUUCCUAGAGUUAAUGAGGUCAGUAGUACUCCUUUUGGUAUGUGAUGAGCACGCCAAAACUGUGCAUUAGUUAUUUCAUUGGCUGAAACGUGAAUUGCUAUAUUUUCAUACUAUCUGCUGUCAUUGGUUUAGCACGACAUGAUUGGCUACAUCUAACUGGUGGCAAAACCCACAUGGCAGGCUAACUGGUUUUGGAGAUCAUUUUGACUACUAGAGAAUUAGGAUGGUAGAUCGUUUCCCGCAAGACUCACUCUGACGGUCCUCCAUUGCUGCAAAUAUUGGAGGGUUUUCAAACGAGGUACACCAGAAGGAGAUCAAGACCGAGAAAGGAUCUCCAGUGACAUCACCACCUGCAAAGAAGGCGGAGAUGCAGAGCGCAAUUGGAGCUCCGUCUGGUUUUCAACCGUUGUAGAGCUCCACUACAAAACGACCAGCCGCACACAACCGAGCGCAAAAGGCAAUAAAAGAAAGGUUGACAUGAAUCCAAAGGGAGUAGGUCAGGAACAGCAAAGCGAGGCCGGCACCUGCUGGUUGGAUUUUUGCCCAAGGCCAGGUUUCACCGUCGUUUCAAACGUAGUCACCGACAACCCUUAUGGUACACUCAAGAUUCCAAAGGCAUUCUGUCAGUACAUCAUCGGUGAUUUUCCACAGAAAGUCAUGCUCCGCAACACCGUUGGAGACACAUGAAGUGUUCGACUGGUGGAAUGGAGGAAUCACAUCUUCAUUGAGCACGUAUGGGAUGCAUUCGCGGAGGACAACAGCGUUGUGGAAGGUGAUACUCUGUUCUUUACUUACACCUGACGCAGACAACGAGAUUGUUUCCUAUGUGCUAAGGUCUGGCCACAUGUUCACCUAAAUGUUCAAUGACUUGGUCCUUCUGAUGCUGCCAUUAAAUUAAUAGCUAUUUCUGUUUUUCCUUUUGUAAGAGCCAUAUAUAUGCUCUUUUAAAUGAGGUGGAAAUAUUGUCAGUUCAAAACAA